AUUGAACGCUGGCGGCAGGCUUAACACAUGCAAGUCGAGCGCAUCCUUCGGGGUGAGCGGCAGACGGGUGAGUAACGCGUGGGAACGUACCCUUUCCUACGGAAUAGCCCCGGGAAACUGGAAUUAAUACCGUAUACGCCCUUAGGGGGCACGAUUGAUCGCGGGAAGGAUCGGGACGCGUUGGAUUAGAUAGUUGGUGGGGUAAAGGCCUACCAAGGCGACGAUCCAUAGCUGGUCUGAGAGGAUGAUCAGCCACAUUGGGACUGAGACAGGGCACAAACUCCUACGGUAGGCAGCAGUGGGGAAUAGUGGACAAUGGGCGCAAGCCUGAUCCAGCCAUGCCGCGUGAGUGAUGAAGGCCUUAGGGUUGUAAAGCUCUUUCAGUAGGGAAGAUAAUGACGGUACCUACAGAAGAAGCCCCGGCUAACUUCGUGCCAGCAGCCGCAGUAA
rnacentral:rRNA from 1 species